GAACGGACGAGGAGGAGCUUGCUUCUCCAAGUCAGUGGCGGACGGGUGAGUAACGCGUGAGUAACCUGCCCUUCAGAGGGGGAUAACGUCUGGAAACGGACGCUAAUACCGCAUGACAUAUUUCCAUCGCAUGGUGGAGAUAUCAAAGGAGCAAUCCGCUGAAGGAUGGACUCGCGUCCGAUUAGAUAGUUGGCGGGGUAACGGCCCACCAAGUCGACGAUCGGUAGCCGGACUGAGAGGUUGAACGGCCACAUUGGGACUGAGACACGGCCCAGACUCCUACGGGAGGCAGCAGUGGGGGAUAUUGCACAAUGGGCGAAAGCCUGAUGCAGCAACGCCGCGUGAGGGAAGACGGUUUUCGGAUUGUAAACCUCUGUUCUAAGUGACGAACAAAUGACGGUAGCUUAGGAGAAAGCCCCGGCUAACUACGUGCCAGCAGCCGCGGUAAUACGUAGGGGGCAAGCGUUGUCCGGAAUUACUGGGUGUAAAGGGAGCGCAGGCGGAGAAGCAAGUCAGAGGUGAAAACGAUGGGCUUAACUCAUCGACUGCCAUUGAAACUGUUUCCCUUGAGUGAAGUAGAGGCAGGCGGAAUUCCGAGUGUAGCGGUGAAAUGCGUAGAUAUUCGGAGGAACACCAGUGGCGAAGGCGGCCUGCUGGGCUUUAACUGACGCUG
rnacentral:rRNA from 1 species